rnacentral:lncRNA from 1 species
GACUAGGGGAAGGUGUCCCUGCCCAUGGCGAGCAGGGUAGGGGUAGUGAAAUCAGAUGAUUUUGAAUGUCCCUUCCAACCCAGACUAUUCUAGGUUUCUAUGAUGCCAGAAUCUCUUUUCAAGUUUUAGCCCCCAGCAAAAAGCACAUAAUCAAUUCGGUUGGAAAAUACCUCAGAUCAUCGAAUUUAACACAGGACUGAACACCUCCACGUUGACCAUACCACGGCACUGGGUACUAUAUCCAGUCUUUCUAAAUACCCCCAGGGACAGUGAUUACACCACCUCCCUGGGCAGCCCAUUCCAAUGUCUAAGUACCCUUUUUGUGAAGAAAUUCCUGCUAUGUCCAACCUAAACCUCCCCCUGAAGACUCGAGUCUAUGUCCUCUCAUCCUGUCAGUUGUUACCUGAGAGCAGCCAGAUCUUCUUCACCUGGCUACAUCCUCCUUUCAGGGAGUUGUAGAGAGUAAGUGAGAAAGGCUUAAGCAAGAUAUUACCAGCUCAGAAAUUAGGGGUGAAAAUCCAAGUUUUCAUAUAGCAAUCUGGAAGAAUUAUAUUUGGUGGUUUUUUGAUGUAGCCUGUAAUGUUUGCAGCCACAACAUGGCCUCUUGGUACAACACGGUCACCACAAACAUGAUGCCAAGCUCCAGUGUCAGCUGUUUAGGUGGCGAUGGCAGGAGCAGUGCUCCGGGAAAACUGCAAAACAUGUCUGAGGAGCAGGGAAAAGAUCUGACUGAAUUUGGAGCAAGACCAUACAUACACUAUGUAGUGAGAGACUGUAAAAUACCAUUCCAGUUUGCAGUGAAGAUGCAACUGAGUUCUGAUAAGAAGCCUCAUGAAGAUUCCUUUUAGAACAAUGGUCAGAAGAAUUUUUAGAACAAUGGGUGGCCCUGAUACAAUUACAGCAUUUAUGUUCAAUUGCUGUUUCAAAUGUCAUUAUGUGCAUGCUAAUCCCACCUAACCACAUGUUCAGUACGUGUUAACAAAAUGUUACUAAAAUGAAGCCUGGAGUCAUCAAUUAAAUAUUUUAGUCUUUAAAUCAGAGGUGACAGAAAAAGAGGCUUUUGUUUGCAUUUGUUUAUUUUUCCAGUUGUGUGGCAGUCAAUAAAUACACCAUGGGUCAGAGAAGCA